AGAGUUUGAUCCUGGCUCUGGAUGAACGCUGGCGGCGUGCUUAACACAUGCAAGUCGAACGAACCUUCGGGUUAGUGGCGGACGGGUGAGUAACGCGUGAGAAUCUGCCCUCAGGAGGGGGAUAACGGCUGGAAACGGCCGCUAAUACCCCAUAUGCCGAGAGGUGAAAUGAAUUUCGCCUGAGGAUGAGCUCGCGUCUGAUUAGCUAGUUGGUAGGGUAAAGGCCUACCAAGGCGACGAUCAGUAGCUGGUCUGAGAGGAUGAUCAGCCACACUGGGACUGAGACACGGCCCAGACUCCUACGGGAGGCAGCAGUGGGGAAUUUUCCGCAAUGGGCGAAAGCCUGACGGAGCAACGCCGCGUGAGGGAUGAAGGCCUCUGGGCUGUAAACCUCUUUCAUCAAGGAAGAAGAUCUGACGGUACUUGAUGAAUAAGCCACGGCUAAUUCCGUGCCAGCAGCCGCGGUAAUACGGGAGUGGCAAGCGUUAUCCGGAAUUAUUGGGCGUAAAGCGUCCGCAGGCGGUCUUGAAAGUCUGUUGUUAAAGCGUGGAGCUUAACUCCAUUUCAGCAAUGGAAACUACAAGACUUGAGUGUGGUAGGGGCAGAGGGAAUUCCCGGUGUAGCGGUGAAAUGCGUAGAUAUCGGGAAGAACACCAGUGGCGAAGGCGCUCUGCUGGGCCAUAACUGACGCUCAUGGACGAAAGCCAGGGGAGCGAAAGGGAUUAGAUACCCCUGUAGUCCUGGCCGUAAACGAUGAACACUAGGUGUCGGGGGAAUCGACCCCCUCGGUGUCGUAGCCAACGCGUUAAGUGUUCCGCCUGGGGAGUACGCACGCAAGUGUGAAACUCAAAGGAAUUGACGGGGGCCCGCACAAGCGGUGGAGUAUGUGGUUUAAUUCGAUGCAACGCGAAGAACCUUACCAGGGUUUACAUCCUGCGAAUCCCUUGGAAACUUGGGAGUGCCUUCGGGAGCGCAGUGACAGGUGGUGCAUGGCUGUCGUCAGCUCGUGUCGUGAGAUGUUGGGUUAAGUCCCGCAACGAGCGCAACCCACGUCUUUAGUUGCCAGCAUUCAGUUGGGCACUCUAGAGAGACCGCCGGUGAUAAACCGGAGGAAGGUGUGGAUGACGUCAAGUCAUCAUGCCCCUUACAUCCUGGGCUACACACGUACUACAAUGCUACGGACAAAGGGCAGCAAACUCGCGAGAGCUAGCAAAUCCCAUAAACCGUGGCUCAGUUCAGAUCGUAGGCUGCAACUCGCCUACGUGAAGGAGGAAUCGCUAGUAAUCGCAGGUCAGCAUACUGCGGUGAAUACGUUCCCGGGCCUUGUACACACCGCCCGUCACACCAUGGAAGUUGGCCACGCCCGAAGUCGUUACUCCAACCCUUGUGGAGGAGGAUGCCGAAGGUGGGGCUGAUGACUGGGGUGAAGUCGAAACAAGGUA
rnacentral:rRNA from 1 species